AGUAAGGUGGCUGAGGAUUAUAGGCGGUAGAUUGUAAAUCUAAGGACGGGUGUUAACCCUUUUACU
rnacentral:tRNA from 1 species